AUCCUUUUGUACUUUAGUUCAUAAGCAUGAUGAUUAAGUAUUCACGCUUUUGUGUGAGAUAUGCCUCCCUGAAAUCUUGUUACGUAAAUCAUUACCCAUCUGAUG